rnacentral:rRNA from 1 species
UUUUGGACAAUGGGGGCAACCCUGAUCCAGCCAUGCCGCGUGGGUGAAGAAGGCCUUCGGGUUGUAAAGCUCUUUCGGACGGAACGAAAUGGGCGGGACUAAUACUCCUGUCUGAUGACGGUACCGUAAGAAGAAGCACCGGCUAACUACGUGCCAGCAGCCGCGGUAAUACGUAGGGUGCGAGCGUUAAUCGGAAUUACUGGGCGUAAAGCGUGCGCAGGCGGUUUCGUAAGCUGGAGGUGAAAUCCCCGGGCUUAACCUGGGAAUGGCCUUCAGGACUGCGAGGCUAGAGUGCGGCAGAGGGAGGUGGAAUUCCACGUGUAGCAGUGAAAUGCGUAGAGAUGUGGAGGAACACCGAUGGCGAAGGCAGCCUCCUGGGCCAGCACUGACGCUCAUGCACGAAA